UACGUAGGGACCAAGCGUUGUUCGGAUUUACUGGGCGUAAAGGGCGCGUAGGCGGCGCGGUAAGUCACUUGUGAAAUCUCUGAGCUUAACUCAGAACGGCCAAGUGAUACUGCAGUGCUAGAGUGUGGAAGGGGCAAUCGGAAUUCUUGGUGUAGCGGUGAAAUGCGUAGAUAUCAGGAGGAACACCGGUGGCGAAGGCGGGUCUCUGGGCCGAUACUGACGCUGAGGGGCGAAAGCGUGGGGAGCGAACAGG
rnacentral:rRNA from 1 species